GACGAACCGUCCAAACGUUAUUCGGAAUUACUGGGCUUAAAGGGUGCGUAGGCGGCGCGGAAAGUAGGGUGUGAAAUCCCUCGGCUCAACCGAGGAACUGCGCCCUAAACUACCGUGCUUGAGGGAGAUAGAGGUAAGCGGAACUUAGGGUGGAGCGGUGAAAUGCGUUGAUAUCCUAAGGAACACCGGUGGCGAAAGCGGCUUACUGGACCUCUUCUGACGCUGAGGCACGAAAGCUAGGGUAGCGAACGGG
rnacentral:rRNA from 1 species